GUGCCAGCAGCCGCGGUAAUACCGGCAGCUCAAGUGAUGUCCCAUAUUAUUGGGCCUAAAGCGUCCGUAGCCGGCCUCGCAAGUCCGUCGGGAAAUCCAGUAGCUCAACUACUGGGCGUCCGGCGGAAACUACAAGGCUUGGGACCGGAAGGCUCGAGGGGUACGUCCGGGGUAGGAGUGAAAUCCCAUAAUCCCGCACGGACCACCGAUGGCGAAAGCACUUCGAGAAAACGGAUCCGACAGUGAGGGACGAAAGCCAGGGUCUCCAACCGGAUUAGAAACCCCGGUAGCC
rnacentral:rRNA from 1 species